CGGUGGAUGCCCUGGCAGUCAGAGGCGAUGAAGGACGUGCUAAUCUGCGAUAAGCGUCGGUAAGGUGAUAUGAACCGUUAUAACCGGCGAUUUCCGAAUGGGGAAACCCAGUGUGAUUCGUCACACUAUCAUUAACUGAAUCCAUAGGUUAAUGAGGCGAACCGGGGGAACUGAAACAUCUAAGUACCCCGAGGAAAAGAAAUCAACCGAGAUUCCCCCAGUAGCGGCGAGCGAACGGGGAGCAGCCCAGAGCCUGAAUCAGUGUGUGUGUUAGUGGAAGCGUCUGGAAAGGCGCGCGAUACAGGGUGACAGCCCCGUACACAAAAAUGCACAUGCUGUGAGCUCGAUGAGUAGGGCGGGACACGUGGUAUCCUGUCUGAAUAUGGGGGGACCAUCCUCCAAGGCUAAAUACUCCUGACUGACCGAUAGUGAACCAGUACCGUGAGGGAAAGGCGAAAAGAACCCCGGCGAGGGGAGUGAAAAAGAACCUGAAACCGUGUACGUACAAGCAGUGGGAGCACGCUUAGGCGUGUGACUGCGUACCUUUUGUAUAAUGGGUCAGCGACUUAUAUUCUGUAGCAAGGUUAACCGAAUAGGGGAGCCGAAGGGAAACCGAGUCUUAACUGGGCGUUAAGUUGCAGGGUAUAGACCCGAAACCCGGUGAUCUAGCCAUGGGCAGGUUGAAGGUUGGGUAACACUAACUGGAGGACCGAACCGACUAAUGUUGAAAAAUUAGCGGAUGACUUGUGGCUGGGGGUGAAAGGCCAAUCAAACCGGGAGAUAGCUGGUUCUCCCCGAAAGCUAUUUAGGUAGCGCCUCGUGAAUUCAUCUCCGGGGGUAGAGCACUGUUUCGGCAAGGGGGUCAUCCCGACUUACCAACCCGAUGCAAACUGCGAAUACCGGAGAAUGUUAUCACGGGAGACACACGGCGGGUGCUAACGUCCGUCGUGAAGAGGGAAACAACCCAGACCGCCAGCUAAGGUCCCAAAGUCAUGGUUAAGUGGGAAACGAUGUGGGAAGGCCCAGACAGCCAGGAUGUUGGCUUAGAAGCAGCCAUCAUUUAAAGAAAGCGUAAUAGCUCACUGGUCGAGUCGGCCUGCGCGGAAGAUGUAACGGGGCUAAACCAUGCACCGAAGCUGCGGCAGCGACACUAUGUGUUGUUGGGUAGGGGAGCGUUCUGUAAGCCUGUGAAGGUGUACUGUGAGGUAUGCUGGAGGUAUCAGAAGUGCGAAUGCUGACAUAAGUAACGAUAAAGCGGGUGAAAAGCCCGCUCGCCGGAAGACCAAGGGUUCCUGUCCAACGUUAAUCGGGGCAGGGUGAGUCGACCCCUAAGGCGAGGCCGAAAGGCGUAGUCGAUGGGAAACAGGUUAAUAUUCCUGUACUUGGUGUUACUGCGAAGGGGGGACGGAGAAGGCUAUGUUGGCCGGGCGACGGUUGUCCCGGUUUAAGCGUGUAGGCUGGUUUUCCAGGCAAAUCCGGAAAAUCAAGGCUGAGGCGUGAUGACGAGGCACUACGGUGCUGAAGCAACAAAUGCCCUGCUUCCAGGAAAAGCCUCUAAGCAUCAGGUAACAUCAAAUCGUACCCCAAACCGACACAGGUGGUCAGGUAGAGAAUACCAAGGCGCUUGAGAGAACUCGGGUGAAGGAACUAGGCAAAAUGGUGCCGUAACUUCGGGAGAAGGCACGCUGAUAUGUAGGUGAAGUCCCUCGCGGAUGGAGCUGAAAUCAGUCGAAGAUACCAGCUGGCUGCAACUGUUUAUUAAAAACACAGCACUGUGCAAACACGAAAGUGGACGUAUACGGUGUGACGCCUGCCCGGUGCCGGAAGGUUAAUUGAUGGGGUCAGCGCAAGCGAAGCUCUUGAUCGAAGCCCCGGUAAACGGCGGCCGUAACUAUAACGGUCCUAAGGUAGCGAAAUUCCUUGUCGGGUAAGUUCCGACCUGCACGAAUGGCGUAAUGAUGGCCAGGCUGUCUCCACCCGAGACUCAGUGAAAUUGAACUCGCUGUGAAGAUGCAGUGUACCCGCGGCAAGACGGAAAGACCCCGUGAACCUUUACUAUAGCUUGACACUGAACAUUGAGCCUUGAUGUGUAGGAUAGGUGGGAGGCUUUGAAGUGUGGACGCCAGUCUGCAUGGAGCCGACCUUGAAAUACCACCCUUUAAUGUUUGAUGUUCUAACGUUGACCCGUAAUCCGGGUUGCGGACAGUGUCUGGUGGGUAGUUUGACUGGGGCGGUCUCCUCCUAAAGAGUAACGGAGGAGCACGAAGGUUGGCUAAUCCUGGUCGGACAUCAGGAGGUUAGUGCAAUGGCAUAAGCCAGCUUGACUGCGAGCGUGACGGCGCGAGCAGGUGCGAAAGCAGGUCAUAGUGAUCCGGUGGUUCUGAAUGGAAGGGCCAUCGCUCAACGGAUAAAAGGUACUC
rnacentral:rRNA from 1 species